AGCGCCUCCGACCCGGGGCCGCGCGGUCACCGCCCUCGGCCGGACGGCCAAAGGUAGCCGCCCCUCUCCCCAAGAUGCACAGUGGGGUGAGCGUUCGGUGCAGCUGUUGAAGACACCGCGUGGGACGUCCACAUCCCAUGUUGGAGUGCCUCGGUUGUGAGUCCCAGCUCUGCUUUGCUGCUGUGUACCCAGGGAAACAGCAGUGUGCUGCGGUGCCUUAUGCUGAAAGUUGUUCUCCUUCUCUCACUGGCGUCCAGAGUUCGCCCAUCCAAGAAAUCCAGUCCCUGCCGGGGGAGGUCACAGCAGCUGUUCCAGACCAGUCACUCUGCACCACACAUGGUGGAGCAAUUUCGUCCUUUGCUUAUUCACUCCCCUGACAUUCAGGUGGUGGCUUUGGCGAAUGCUUCAUUGAGUAGGCGAGUUCCCAGUUUGGUCACUGGAUUUUGGAGCCAUGCUGUCUGAAUUAAUUUUGGUGAUCCUAUCUCCUAUUGAGUCUUCCAUUUUGUGGAAGGUAGGAAGUUACACUUCCUAUGCUCAGGGUGUACCUGUUUGGGAUCCAUCAAUGCAAAUGGCUCCAUGUCACCAGUGUUUUCCUCUCCCAGCCCCUCCACUUUGACCAAGAGCCCCCUUCUUUGCUGCACUUGAUAAAGUACACAUUUCAUCGUCAAAAUAAAAAUUUAUUC